rnacentral:rRNA from 1 species
AUUGAACGCUGGCGGCAGGCCUAACACAUGCAAGUCGAGCGGAUGAAGGGAGCUUGCUCCUGGAUUCAGCGGCGGACGGGUGAGUAAUUCCUAGGAAUCUGCCUUGUCGUGGGGGAUAACGUCCGGAAACGGGCGCUAAUACCGCAUCCGUCCUGAGGGAGAAAGUGGGGGAUCUUCGGACCUCACGCUAUCAGCUGAGCCUAGGUCGGAUUAGCUAGUUGGUGGGGUAAAGGCCUACCAAGGCGACGAUCCGUAACUGGUCUGAGAGGAUGAUCAGUCACACUGGAACUGAGACACGGUCCAGACUCCUACGGGAGGCAGCAGUGGGGAAUAUUGGACAAUGGGCGAAAGCCUGAUCCAGCCAUGCCGCGUGUGUGAAGAAGGUCUUCGGAUUGUAAAGCACUUUAAGUUGGGAGGAAGGGCAGUAAGUUAAUACCUGGCUGUUUUGACGGUACCAACAGAAUAAGCACCGGCUAACUUCGUG